UGAAGCAGGAUUGGAAGAACAAUGAUCUUAUAUUUGCCUGUGGUUUUGAAUGCCAGAUCUUUAGUCGGUGUGUGCAUCCUUCCUAGUGGUUACACUGCUUGGAAACAGUUCUAGGGCCUGUAAAAGCCAGGACACGUUUCUUUAAGUAGAGGUUUUGCAGAUGUAACUUCACUACUGUGAACUAUUACUGCCUGCAAAGUCUGAGGUGACUGAUGAACAGCGCGUACAAGACCAAGGAUGCCCUGAAUGAAUUAAUCAGUACAUCUGAGUAAGAACUGUUACAGGUAGAUCAGGGGAAUCUCAUUACCAACUUGAGAAGAUUUCAUUUUUGAGAGGGAGAAGAAACGGUUCUCAAAAUCCUUUCAUGGGCAUGUAAAUUAUGCUGUUUUUUAGGAAAUGCAGCACAGUAAACUUCUUUAUAUGAGAAAUUAGUGCGUCCAAGCACUGCAUUUAUUUCAGACAGAUGCUGAGUUAAAAUACACCAAACAUAAUGUGAAGUUUUUAGAGGCAGAAUCCUGUCCCACCCCAACUACCACCGUGUAUUUAAUCACCAAAUUGACAACUUCCUUGACCAGUUGAAACAGUGUAUAGCAAAACAAGGAGAGAAAUCAAACAUCACUUGGAGGAAAUAAAUCAACACAUUUCUCUCAUUUAUGUGCCUAAAUGUGGAAAGCUGAUUGUGUUCCUUAAACAGCUAAAGCAUCCCACCAAUGCAUUUUGCAACACAGCAGUCAACAUGAAACCCACAACUUCACUGGGCUUCAUUGAGCAUCUGUGGAAGAUUAAGAGAUACUGUGUAAACAUUUCAUGAUUUUCAAAGGGAAAUGGCAAGUAGAGAAAGAUUCAAAAUAUCUGAAGAUGAAUGAACUUAAGGAAAUGUUUCAGGUUAUUCAGGAAGUCACUGUUAAAAAUGGGCUUUCCUUUCGUGUCAGUAGGAUAGAAGGGGGAAUUAAUCAUCAGCUCACAAGAGUGCUAGAAAGACUGUGCCUCAAUGGGCAAAAUUUCUGCAAGCUCCAGGAGGUGUCUGGAAAUUGCAUCAUCAAACACUAGGUUCUAAAUUAACUAUAUACCAACUCUGGAUAAAGAACUACACAUCACUCCAGACAGCUCAGGUUCUGUUUAUUGUUGAAUAGCAGUCAAAAAAGCAAACAAAAUGUUAGGAUGUAUAAGAAAUUAAAUGAAAAUAAUAUAUAACAUAAUUAUAAAGAGCAAAGGUACAUCCUCACUUGAAACACCGUGUUAAUCUGUAAUCAUGCUAUGUAAACAUGGAUAUAGCAGGAAUAAAAUGGUUUCAGUGAUGAGUUAUAUGAAUGAUUAGGGGCAUGAAAAAAUGGACAUGAAGAGGGAUUGAAAAUAGUGGGAGGGAUUGAAAAUAGUGGGACAGCUUACUGCAGACAGAUGAAAAGAGAUUUACCAAAUAAUGACUCAUACGGCAUAGCCAAGUUGGAACCUUCUCCCUGCCUCGUAAUAUGAAAAGGUGACAGUCAAAGAAAUUGUAAAAGAGCAAACUUAAAAUGGAAACCAAAGAAAUACCUUUCCAUACAUGGCAUAAUUAAGCUAGUGUAUAGACCUCACUGGCACAAUAAACCACCAAAGUCAAGAGCUCACAAGAAAUUCCAAACAGGACAGGGCAUUAUGUGGCUAGUGAGAGAAUAAGUGUCACUUAAAAAAAAAAAAAGCUAAAUAUAUUUGGAAGGGUUCUAAACUCUCAGGCUUUGGGCUGGUGUUGCCACGUUUCUGAAGGAGUUAUGUGUUUAACUUCCUAUUGGAAUUCAAUGGGAUGUCAGCAUCUAGUUCUUUUAAGCUCCUUCGCCACAAGCAAACUUCUAAAUGACAGAUUUUGGGAUGUACUUUUUCUUUGGGGCAAAUUAUUCUGUAACAGUCUAUAACAGGGUUUGUUCCACCUUCCUCUGUAGCAUCCUGUACUGGCUACUGGUUUAAAAUAUUAUGAUAACUCCCAUGUUCCUAUUACAUUUUCAACUAGCACCAUUUUGUACAGGCCAUUUUACCAUGUUGAAAAUAUGUAUUAUAAUAUACUUUUUCAAUUGAUCCCAUAUUUUAUUGGAAUUAUAUGGCCCACUUCAUAAUCUAUAGCUGAUGCUUAUUUCUAAUUGCUCUGCGAAUAUCAAAUAUCCAAAUGACUGCCUUAAAGAAGAGGGAGAAUAUCUGUCCUCACUUGCUGCAGAGGGAAAGACAUGAAGCAAUGGCUUUAAAUUAUAGCAAAGUGGAUUUCAAUUAGAGAUCAGGAAAACGUCCUUACUGAUAGAAGAGUAAGGCAGUGGAAUAGACUGCCCCGGGAAGGCAUGGCAUCUCUUUCAUUGGAGGCUUUCAAGACCAGGCUGGAUGUAUUGGAAAGGGGAUGGUUUCAGAGUAGCAUUCCUACAUUUGUACCGAGGGGUGGACCCGAUGAUUCUUGAGGUCCCCUUCUAAGCCUAUGGCUCUACAAUGAAAGUAUGCAUUUAAUUUUAAAACUUUGUUAAACUAAUCAAUAUUGACAUUUUAAAA